ACCCAUUCGGUAAAGAUCCUGAUUGAUCUCCCCUUAAGAACUCUAUUCCAACGGUCGGACAUUUCAGAGAGAAUGGCCAAAUGAGCGGUCGAACUCAGAGAGUUUGAUCUAUCUUAUGUUCCAUGAUCCUCGAUGAAGGCUCAAAUACUUGCUGACUUCAUUGUCGAAUGCAUGCUAGCCAUUGAUAGUCAAGUCGAGGAUCAGUCUCA
rnacentral:lncRNA from 1 species